CCUACGGGUGGCAGCAGUGGGGAAUAUUGGGCAAUGGGCGCAAGCCUGACCCAGCAACGCCGCGUGAAGGAAGAAGGCUUUCGGGUUGUAAACUUCUUUUCUGAGGGACGAAUAAAAUGACGGUACCUGAAGAAUAAGCUCCGGCUAACUACGUGCCAGCAGCCGCGGUAAUACGUAGGGAGCAAGCGUUGUUCGGAAUGACUGGGCGUAAAGGGUGCGUAGGCGGUUAUACAAGUUAGAAGUGAAAUACCCAGGGCUUAACUCGGGUGCUGCUUCUAAAACUGUAAGACUUGAGUGCAGUAGAGGUGAGUGGAAUUCCUAGUGUAGCGGUGGAAUGCGUAGAUAUUAGGAGGAACACCAGAGGCGAAGGCGGCUAACUGGACUGCAACUGACGCUGAGGCACGAAAGUGUGGGGAGCAAACAGGAUUAGAUACCCGAGUAGUC
rnacentral:rRNA from 1 species